rnacentral:sRNA from 1 species
UAAAUAUCCCAGAUUUUACUUAUGCUAAAAUUGUGAAGCAGCUUUUAAAACAUUAGUUCUUCCUGUUUGACCUGAUAGUUUAUUUCAACAUUUAGUUAAUUGCUAAAUGACUUUGAGGAAUAGCUUUUAUUUUGUUGAAAUACACUUUUCUGUAGAUGGUGCUGAACAGAUGAGAGCUUUGGGGGCCAACAGUAGAGGAACUCUAACACUGCGAUCCACUCUUCACUUUUGGCAGGUGCUUUGCAAGUAUUGAUAGAGAUGAAAAACCAAGAUGUGAAGUUCACCAAAGAUACCUAUGUUCUUGCUUUUGCAAUUUGCUACAAACUGAAUAGCCCUGAGUCUUUCAAAAUCUGUACUACAUUAAGAGAAGAAGCUCUACUCAAAGGGGAAAUUCUCUCCAGGAGAGCAUCCUGUUUCGCUGUGGCAUUAGCUCUGAAUCAGAAUGAGAUGGCAAAAGCUAUGUCCAUUUUUUCUCAAAUCAUGAAUCCAGAAAGCAUAGCCUGCAUUAAUUUAAAUAUUAUAAUCCACAUCCAGUCAAAUAUGUUGGAAAACCUGAUAAAGACUCUAAAAAAUGCUGCAGAAGGAAAUUUAUCAAAAUUUGUGAGAAGACAUGUGUUCUCGGAGGAAGUGCUGGCCAAAGUGAGGGAAAAAGUGAAGGAUGUGCCUGCCCUUGUGGCCAAAUUUGAUGAGAUCUAUGGGACACUGCACAUCACUGGCCAGGUCACCACUGAUUCUUUGGAUGCUGUGCUCUGCCACACCCCCAGGGACAGGAAAUCUCACACGUUGCUAUUAAACAAGAGGAUGGUCAGCCGUCGCACCUUCCAGCCACUCAGCCAGUCCCUGUUGGCUGAGUAACCCUGGUUUCAGUCCACCUAUGGAUCUGAGGGGCCUGCUUCUAAUGAGUUAUUGCCUUUCCUAAGAAGCCAGGUAUCGCACUUCAGCAGACAGUGUGCUGACACUUGGUCUUCUCCUGAAAUUCCCAAAUUCACUGAAUGGUACCAUGCUGAUCUCUGAGAAGUUAUGUUGCACCACUGUGAAGGUCUAGAUGCAAGCUUGGCUCCCUCAGAAAGGCGCUUCCCUUUUGCAUGGCUGAGGAUCCUUGAAGGAACCUGGUCAGUCUCCAGUUCAGCUUCCGGCACCAGAGUGGAACCCAGUAAGCACCAUCAGGAAUGAAUUUCACUACAAGUGUGGAUAACUCUGAUUUUCAAAGGAGUAGUUACUUGCAAAUUACAUCCUUGCUGAAUUCAGGAG